rnacentral:rRNA from 1 species
UACGAAGGGGGCUAGCGUUGCUCGGAAUCACUGGGCGUAAAGCGCACGUAGGCGGAUUUCUAAGUCAGGGGUGAAAUCCUGGAGCUCAACUCCAGAACUGCCUUUGAUACUGGGAAUCUCGAGUUCGGGAGAGGUGAGUGGAACUGCGAGUGUAGAGGUGAAAUUCGUAGAUAUUCGCAAGAACACCAGUGGCGAAGGCGGCUCACUGGCCCGAUACUGACGCUGAGGUGCGAAAGCGUGGGGAGCAAACAGG